CAGGAACAUCAGAGGAAGAUGAUCAUGAUGUUUCUGCUGGUGAAUAUGGACAAGUUGGGCCACGUACUGCAUGUCAUUGUCAGGUCAUCAGAAGUGUCUGUCAAUGGUCUGCUGGAGCCAGCCAAACUGAAGAAAGCAUCCACUAUGCUUAUUGUUCUCUUGUUGAGAAGGCACAACAUUUUAUCUACAUAGAGAAUCAGUUUUUCAUAUCAGGCCUUUUUGGAGAUGAGAUUAUACAGAACCG
rnacentral:misc_RNA from 1 species